rnacentral:lncRNA from 1 species
UUGAGUUGUGUGUAUAAUGAAAAUGUUGUUGUUAAACACAUGAAAUUUGAUUGAAUUGUUGGAAUAAUGAAAAUGUUGUUGUUAAACCUAUGAGAUUUGAUUGAAUUGUGUGAAUGAUGAAAAUGUAGAUGUUAAACCUUUAAAUUUUAUUGAAUUGUGGGAAUGAUGUAAAUGUUCCUGUUAAAUCCAUGGAGUUUGAUUGAAUUCUGUGAAUGAUGAAAAUAUUGUCGUUAAACCCAUGAAAUUUUUAUGAGUUGUGUGAACGAUAAAAAUAUUGUUCUUAAACCCAUGAAAUUUGAUUGAAUUGUGUGAAUGAUGAAAAUGUUGUUGUUGUUAAAUUCAUGAAAUCUGAUUGAAUUGUGUUAAUGAUGAAAAUGUUGAUAUUAAACAAAUGAAAUUUGAUAGAAUUGUGUGAAUAAUGAAAAUGUUGUUGUUGUUGAACCCAUGAAAUUUGAUUGAAUUGUAUGAAUGAUGAAAAUGUUGUUGUUGUUAAACCUAUGAAAUUCGAUUAUUGAACUGUAUGAAUGAUGAAAAUGUUGUCGUUGAACCCGUGAAAUUUGAUUGAAUUGUCUGAAUGAUGAAAAUGUAGUUGUUAAACCCAUGAAAUUUGAUUAAAUUAUGGGAAUGAUGAAAAUGUUUUAUUAAACCCAUGAAAUUUGAUUGAGUUGUGUGUAUAAUGAAAAUGUUGUUGUUAAACACAUGAAAUUUGAUUGAAUUGUUGGAAUAAUGAAAAUUUCGUUGUUAAACCUAUGAGAUUUGAUUGAAUUGUGUGAAUGAUGAAAAUGUUGAUGUUAAACCUUUAAAUUUUAUUGAAUUGUGGGAAUGAUGUAAAUGUUCCUGUUAAAUCCAUGGAGUUUGAUUGAAUUCUGUGAAUGAUGAAAAUAUUGUCGUUAAACCCAUGAAAUUUGAUUGAGUUGUGUGUACGAUAAAAAUAUUGUUCUUAAACCCAUGAAAUUUGAUUGAAUUGUGUGAAUGAUGAAAAUGUUGUUGUUGUUAAAUUCAUGAAAUCUGAUUGAAUUGUGUGAAUGAUGAUAAUGUUGAUGUUAAACAAAUGAAAUUUGAUAGAAUUGUGUGAAUAAUGAAAAUGUUGUUGUUGUUGAACCCAUGAAAUUUGAUUGAAUUGUAUGAAUGAUGAAAAUGUUGUUGUUGUUAAACCCAUGAUUGUGUGAAUAAUGAAAAUGUUGUUGUUGUUGAACCCAUGAAAUUUGAUUGAAUUGUAUGAAUGAUGAAAAUGUUGUUGUUGUUAAACCCAUGAAAUUUGAUUAAAUUGUGUGAAUGAUGAAAAUGUAGUUGUUAAACUCAUAAAAUUUGAUUGAAUUGUAUGAAUGAUGAAAAUGUUGUCGUUAAACCCGUGAAAUUUGAUUGAAUUGUCUGAAUGAUGAAAAUGUAGUUGUUAAACCCAUGAAAAUUGAUUAAAUUAUGGGAAUGAUGAAAAUGUUCUAUUAAACCCAUGAAAUUUGAUUGAGUUGUGUGUAUAAUGAAAAUGUUGUUGUUAAACACAUGAAAUUUGAUUGAAUUGUUGGAAUAAUGAAAAAGUUGUUGUUAAACCUAUGAGAUUUGAUUGAAUUGUGUGAAUGAUGAAAAUGUUGAUGUUAAACCCAUGAAAUUUGAUUGAAUUGUGUGAAUGAUGAAAAUGUUGUU